CCAAAAUAACAACAUUUUACACCUCACUUCACACUUUUAUUCUUAUGGAUAAAUCACUUAUUAAAAAGCUCAUGAGAACACCUAAUCCACCCUAUUUAAGAAGCUGGAAACCCUAACCCUAAAGGAGAAUUUGGAAUUUUGUGGCAAGGAGGCAAAGCUUCACCACAUAUCAAAUUCCAUUCCACUUCUAUUUUCCAUU
rnacentral:lncRNA from 1 species